GCAUUUGCUUUGGCGGGGCAUAUACUAAAAUUGGAACAAUACAGAGUAGAUUAGCAUGGUUUCUGCAGAAGGAUGACAAAUUUGUGAAGCGUUCCAUAUUAAA